UACGUAGGGGGCAAGCGUUGUCCGGAAUUAUUGGGCGUAAAGAGCGUGUAGGCGGUCCGGUAAGUCUGCUGUGAAAGUCGGGGGCUCAACCCUCGAAUGCCGGUGGAUACUGUCGGGCUAGAGUGCGGAAGAGGCGAGUGGAAUUCCUGGUGUAGCGGUGAAAUGCGCAGAUAUCAGGAGGAACACCUAUUGCGAAGGCAGCUCGCUGGGACGUAACUGACGCUGAGACGCGAAAGCGUGGGGAGCAAACAGG
rnacentral:rRNA from 1 species